rnacentral:tRNA from 1 species
AAUAAAGUGCCUGAUAAAAGGGUUAUCUUGAUAGGAUAAAUCAUGUACAUUUUGUAUUUUUAUUA